AAUUAAUGAGCUUGAAAUAGCAUUUGUUUUGAAAACUUAAGAUAAAAUUAUAUUAAAUUUUAUUAAUUU
rnacentral:tRNA from 1 species